rnacentral:rRNA from 1 species
GCAGUUAAAAAGCUCGUAGUUGGAUUUUCUGUUCUUGGGGGAGCGGUCCGCCGCAAGGUGAGCACUGCUGCUCUGGGGACAUCCUCUCGAAGGCGGGUGGUGCACUUAAUUGUGUGCUGCUUGGAUUCGGGACCUUUACUUUGAAAAAAUUAGAGUGUUCAAAGCAGGCAUCGGCUUGAAUACAUUAGCAUGGAAUAAUGGAAUAGGACUUUGGUUCUAUUUUGUUGGUUUCUAGGACCGAAGUAAUGAUUAAUAGGGACAGUUGGGGGCAUUAGUAUUUAAUUGUCAGAGGUGAAAUUCUUGGAUUUAUGAAAGACUAACUACUGCGAAAGCAUUUGCCAAGGAUGUUUUCAUUAAUCAAGAACGAAAGUUAGGGGAUCGAAGACGAUCAGAUACCGUCGUAGUCUUGACCAUAAACUAUGCCGACUCGGGAUCGGUGGGGUGAUUUUAGCCGCAUCGGCACCGUAUGAGAAAUCAAAGUUUUUGGGUUCUGGGGGGAGUAUGGUCGCAAGGCUGAAACUUAAAGGAAUUGACGGAAGGGCACCACCAGGAGUGGAGCCUGCGGCUUAAUUUGACUCAACACGGGGAAAACUCACCAGGUCCAGACAUAGUAAGGAUUGACAGAUUGAGAGCUCUUUCU